GCAUUGCGGCGUGCUAUAAUGCAGUCGAGCGAACAGAUAAGGAGCUUGCUCCUUUGACGUUAGCGGCGGACGGGUGAGUAACACGUGGGUAACCUACCUAUAAGACUGGGAUAACUUCGGGAAACCGGAGCUAAUACCGGAUAACAUUUGGAACCGCAUGGUUCUAAAGUGAAAGAUGGUUUUGCUAUCACUUAUAGAUGGACCCGCGCCGUAUUAGCUAGUUGGUAAGGUAACGGCUUACCAAGGCAACGAUACGUAGCCGACCUGAGAGGGUGAUCGGCCACACUGGAACUGAGACACGGUCCAGACUCCUACGGGAGGCAGCAGUAGGGAAUCUUCCGCAAUGGGCGAAAGCCUGACGGAGCAACGCCGCGUGAGUGAUGAAGGGUUUCGGCUCGUAAAACUCUGUUAUUAGGGAAGAACAAAUGUGUAAGUAACUGUGCACAUCUUGACGGUACCUAAUCAGAAAGCCACGGCUAACUACGUGCCAGCAGCCGCGGUAAUACGUAGGUGGCAAGCGUUAUCCGGAAUUAUUGGGCGUAAAGCGCGCGUAGGCGGUUUCUUAAGUCUGAUGUGAAAGCCCACGGCUCAACCGUGGAGGGUCAUUGGAAACUGGGAAACUUGAGUGCAGAAGAGGAAAGUGGAAUUCCAUGUGUAGCGGUGAAAUGCGCAGAGAUAUGGAGGAACACCAGUGGCGAAGGCGACUUUCUGGUCUGUAACUGACGCUGAUGUGCGAAAGCGUGGGGAUCAAACAGGAUUAGAUACCCUGGUAGUCCACGCCGUAAACGAUGAGUGCUAAGUGUUAGGGGGUUUCCGCCCCUUAGUGCUGCAGCUAACGCAUUAAGCACUCCGCCUGGGGAGUACGACCGCAAGGUUGAAACUCAAAGGAAUUGACGGGGACCCGCACAAGCGGUGGAGCAUGUGGUUUAAUUCGAAGCAACGCGAAGAACCUUACCAAAUCUUGACAUCCUUUGAAAACUCUAGAGAUAGAGCCUUCCCCUUCGGGGGACAAAGUGACAGGUGGUGCAUGGUUGUCGUCAGCUCGUGUCGUGAGAUGUUGGGUUAAGUCCCGCAACGAGCGCAACCCUUAAGCUUAGUUGCCAUCAUUAAGUUGGGCACUCUAGGUUGACUGCCGGUGACAAACCGGAGGAAGGUGGGGAUGACGUCAAAUCAUCAUGCCCCUUAUGAUUUGGGCUACACACGUGCUACAAUGGACAAUACAAAGGGCAGCUAAACCGCGAGGUCAUGCAAAUCCCAUAAAGUUGUUCUCAGUUCGGAUUGUAGUCUGCAACUCGACUACAUGAAGCUGGAAUCGCUAGUAAUCGUAGAUCAGCAUGCUACGGUGAAUACGUUCCCGGGUCUUGUACACACCGCCCGUCACACCACGAGAGUUUGUAACACCCGAAGCCGGUGGAGUAACCAUUUAUGAGCUAGCAGUCGAAUGG
rnacentral:rRNA from 2 species